CAGCAAUGUCGUUUCAUUGUUUGUUAGAGCCCAGGAAGAGGUUCCAGUCGACGAUUUCUGGAGCUCCAAUUCAAGACACGUUUUGGAUGGAUAGAUGGACUUAAAACAAGUGAGCAAAUACAUGAACAAAUAAACACAAACAAAUGGAAAGACGAAAAAAAAAAUGAAAAAAAGACGAAAAAAAAUACAAACAAAGGAGCGAACAACGACACAACUAACGAAUGAAAUAUUCUAAUUUGUGAAAAUCACCCCUCAAUUUCGCMAAAAAAAUUGAUUGAUUCCUAGACGAAAAACCAACAAAGUCAAUCAAUUUUUCCUCCUACACUUCAGCGGAAGUAAUAUCGAAUUCUAUAAAGGCUUYAAUUAGCAAGAACACUUUAACGCGCCCGAGUUUGCUAAGUACGAGUGUAUCUUCCGGGCAGCGAGGCAGGUAGCAAUUGCGCUGAUCAAUUUAAAAAGGAAGGGAUUUUACACUUUUUAACCAAACUGGUUCCAGAAAGGCUAAGACAAAAUUAUAAGGUUAUUAUACAAAAAGAAACAAAAUGGCUGCUAACGAAAUGAGAAA